UUGUCAAGAAUAGUGUGUUAGAGG
rnacentral:piRNA from 2 species